GCCCAGACUCCUACGGGAGGCAGCAGUGAGGAAUAUUGGUCAAUGGACGGAAGUCUGAACCAGCCAUGCCGCGUGCAGGAAGACGGCUCUAUGAGUUGUAAACUGCUUUUGUACAAGGGUAAACCUGAAUACGUGUAUUCAGCUGAAAGUACUGUACGAAUAAGGAUCGGCUAACUCCGUGCCAGCAGCCGCGGUAAUACGGGGGAUGCGAGCGUUAUCCGGAUUUAUUGGGUUUAAAGGGUGCGUAGGCGGCGCUUCAGGUCAGCGGUGAAAUACCGGGGCUCAACCCCGGGGCUGCCGUUGAAACCGGAGCGCUAGAAUUCCGAUGCCGUCGGAGGAAUGUGUGGUGUAGCGGUGAAAUGCAUAGAUAUCACACAGAACACCGAUUGCGAAGGCAUCUGACGAAUCGGAGAUUGACGCUGAUGCACGAAAGCGUGGGUAUCGAACAGGAUUAGAUACCCGUGUAGA
rnacentral:rRNA from 1 species